rnacentral:rRNA from 12 species
GGAGAUUUGAGAGGAGCUGCUCCUAGUACGAGAGGACCGGAGUGGACGAACCGCUGGUGUUCGGGUUGUGUCGCCAGACGCAUUGCCCGGUAGCUAUGUUCGGAUAGGAUAACCGCUGAAAGCAUCUAAGCGGGAAGCCCCUUCCAAGAUGAGAUCUCCCUGGACCUUUAAGGUCCCUGAAGAGCCGUUCAAGACCAGGACGUUGAUAGGUCGGGUGUGUAAGCGCUGCGAG